UCUGAAGUGACCUGAUGUUGCUCUGUAUGGGCAGGUGUCUGAAGCCCUCUAAAGUGGACAAAUGAGAUGAAAGAGCAAUAGAUAACGUCUAGCAAAAAAGGACUCAAUUAUCUGGCUACAAGAUAUUAGAUAAUCACUAUGCAAGCACCAACAACAUCACUCAUUCUCUGACUGGUUUGUCAGUUCUUGGUGUUCAUAAAACUAAUUCAGAAAAAUAUAUCAUCUGUGGGAUUACAAUAUUCAAAACAGGCUUUGAACCUCUACUCAUGCAGGCUUUUAAAUGUUUAUCUCCAAGUAAUGGGAGUAGUCAAUAUAAGGCAGGCAAGUCUUUGGCCUAUAGUAUAAGCAGAGCCAGGUCUUCUGUGGUUGUUAGCACCAUUACUUAAAUCAGAUAUGAAUAAUCAUCUGCUUAAGAUUUAUGUUUGUAGGGGCAAAAUGAAGCCACAUGAUUUAAAUUCGGUUUGCAUGUGUUGAGAGGCAUUGUGAUUACUAGAAACUCUUUUAAAAAUUCUCAAUAAAUUUAUAUAUAGAAAUGUUA